GCGCACCAGUCGCGAAUAGUCUACAAUGGACGAAAGUCUGAUAGUGCGACGCCGUGUGUGCGAUUAAUUCCUUCGGGAUGUAAAGCACUUUUCUAUGAGAUAAAAGCUCUUUAGGUUAAUAGCUUAUUGAGACGGAUAUUAUUAUAGGAAUAAGCUCCGGCUAACUCCGUGCCAGCAGCCGCGGUAAUACGGAAGGAGCGAGCGUUGUCCGGAUUUACUAGGCGUAAAGGGCUAGUAGGCGACUAAUUAAGUUAUAUGUUAAAUCCCACGGCUCAACUGUGGUCCUGCAUGUAAUACUGGUUAGAUAGAGUACUGUAGAGGAAGGCAGAAUUCCUGGAGUAGCGGUGGAAUGCGCAGAUAUCAGGAGAAUACCAAAAGCGAAGGCAGCCUUCUGGGCAGUUACUGACGCUGAAUAGCGAAGGUGUGGGUAGCGAACAGGAUUAGAUACCCGCGUAGU
rnacentral:rRNA from 1 species